CACGGUGAGGGUGCGAGCGUUUGUCCGGAAUUAUUGGGCGUAAAGAGCUCGUAGGCGGUGUGUCGCGGUCGGACCUGAAACCUGCAGCUUAACUGUGGGCUUGCGGUCGAUACGGGCAUCACUGGAGUUCGGGCAGGGGAGACUGGAAUUCCUGGUGUAGCGGUGAAAUGCGCAGAUAUCGAGGAGGAACACCGGUGGGCGAAGGCGGGUCUCUGGGCCGAUACGUGACGC
rnacentral:rRNA from 1 species